rfam:Ovis aries breed Texel chromosome 9, whole genome shotgun sequence.
UCCUUGGUGGUCCAGUGGCUAAGACCCUGAGCUCCCAAUGCAGGGGGCUUGGGUUCAAUCCCUGGUCAGGGAA